CUGAAGUUCACUGUGGAAAGGAGAGGGAAAGAGGUUGGUAUCUAGGAAGAGAAAGAGGGGUGAACAAGGAGGAGGAGAAGGUGAUGGCCAACAAGGCUUUGUGUUAGUAAGGCUGGAACAUGACCUUUAAGCACAGCUAUGGUUUUCCUGAACUUAAUCCUCUGGAUCUUCAGAGCAGAGAAAGUGUUCCUCCCUAGAAGAGAAGGACACUUCCAUCCGCUCUGAUGGUAGGCUUCCCUGGGCCAAGUGAAGGAAAUAACACAUGCUACUCCCAAGCAGAGGGUUUGAAUAGGAUAAGCACACUGCUGAAAUAAUUACAUCCAAAAGGAAAGAAGCAAAACCAGCAGUUGUAAUCCAUUCAUUUUAUUAACAACAACCUACUAUGUGCCAGGCACUCUACCGGUAGCCUAGUUACAA
rnacentral:lncRNA from 10 species